ensembl:misc_RNA
CAGAGAGCACUGCAUGCCAAUAUCCUCUGUUUGCAGAGCAAAGCAGUCAGACAGCGGCUGGCAGCAGCCACUCUCCCACGAUGCACCAGGACAGCCAGCGCUUCAGCUCUGCCCUGGGAGGCCCACUUCUCAGGAUGAGAGGAUAAUUCACUCGCUAUAGCCCAUUCAAUCUUCAGCCUCU